CCUACGGGAGGCAGCAGCAGGGAAUAUUGCGCAAUGAGCGAAAGCUUGACGCAGCGACACCGCGUGUGGGAUGACGGAUCUAGGUUUGUAAACCACUUUCAGGAGGGAAGAAAAUGACGGUACCUCCACAAGAAGCCCCGGCCAACUACGUGCCAGCAGCCGCGGUAAUACGUAGGGGGCGAGCGUUGUCCGGAUUUAUUGGGCGUAAAGAGCUCGUAGGCGGUUCAACAAGUCGGUCGUGAAAGUUCAGGGCUCAACCCUGAAAUGUCGAUCGAUACUGUUGUGACUAGGAUACGGUAGAGGUGAGUGGAAUUCCGAGUGUAGCGGUGAAAUGCGUAGAUAUUCGGAGGAACACCAAUUGCGAAGGCAGCUCACUGGGCCGCUAUCGACGCUGAGGAGCGAAAGCUAGGGGAGCAAACAGGAUUAGAUACCCUGGUAGUCCUAGCUGUAAACGAUGGAUACUAGACGUAGGAACUGGAUUGACGGUUUCUGUGUCGCAGCUAACGCGUUAAGUAUCCCGCCUGGGGAGUACGGUCGCAAGACUAAAACUCAAAKGAAUUGACGG
rnacentral:rRNA from 1 species